CAUACCUAUUCGAAGGGAUAGGGUCGGUUUGGCCGGAUUUCACACAGGUGUCGCAUGGCUGUCGUCAGCUCGUGUCGUGAGGUGUUGGGUUAAGUCCCGCAACGAGCGCAACCCUCAUCCUUAGUUACCAUCAGGUUAUGCUGGGGACUUUAAGGAAACUGCCAGUGAUAAACUGGAGGAAGGUGGGGAUGAUGUCAAGUCAUCAUGGCCCUUAUGGAGUGGGCUACACACGUGCUACAAUGGUGAUUACAAUGGGCUGCAAGGUCGCAAGGCUGAGCUAAUCCUAAAAAAUCAUCUCAGUUCGGAUCGUUCUCUGUAACUCGAGAGCAUGAAGUUGGAAUCGCUAGUAAUCGUGGAUCGGCAUGCCACGGUGAAUACGUUCUCGGGUCUUGUACACACUGCCCGUCACGCCAUGGGAAUUGGUUUCACUCGAAGCU
rnacentral:rRNA from 1 species